GACGAACGCUGGCGGCGUGCCUAAUACAUGCAAGUCGAACGCAGUGGGUACGGGGGAGUAACACGUGGGUAACCUCCCAUCAGAGGGGAUAACACUUGGUAACAGGUGCUAAACCGAUACUGAUGGAUGGACCCGCGGUGCAUUAGGUAGUUGGUGAGGUAACGGCUCACCAAGGCCACGAUGCAUAGGCGACCCGAGAGGGUGAUCGGCCACAAUGGGACUGGGACAAGGCCCAGACUCCUACGGGAGGCAGCAGUAGGGAAUCUUCGGCAAUGGACGAAAGGCUGAACGAGCCACGCCGCGUGGGAGAAGAAGGUUUUCGGAUCGUAAAACUAUGUUGUUAGAGAAGCGGUAUCUAACCAGAAAGCCACGGCUUACUACGUGCCAGCAGCCGCGGUAAUUC
rnacentral:rRNA from 1 species